UGGCAACUUGAUCAGUGAGCAUUUCUGUUUGGUGAGGAUGUAAUUUUGAGAUGAGAAAGAAAAAGUACAGAUUUGGCAAUUUGGGCAACUAUGUGUGAAAUAGUUUGAGGACAUGUCUACAUAUAAAGACAAAGUCAUUGCAAUGUGGGCGCACGUGGCUGGGGAAAAUGUUGUGUUUCUGGAUGCUCAGAGAUCCGUGUAAAUGAUACAGACAAGGUUAUGGCAAAUGCUGACAAGGGAACGGACUUUGUAGGAUAGAACACAUGGGAUGUGCUAGGUAUACUGUGCACCCACAUUUGAAGCCAGCCCUCUAGGAAGCAGAGUCUUCAAUAGUUUGAGCAGUGGGGCCUAUGGUUUUAAUGAUCCUGUCAUCAGUUUGUUUGGGGCACAAUAUGUAUGGGCAGUCACCCGAGCUGGAGGGUUACGAAUUUACUUACUUCAUUUUAUCUAUGGAAAAGUACAUUCGUGGAAUCAGUGCAUGGAAUUUUGAUCUGGAGGAUUUGAAAGCUCAAGCUACCAUUGACAAAGAGGGUGCAUGAUUGGUGUAAAAAUAGGCAGUGACUUAGACGAGUUGAUUUAUCAAUGCAUGUACUAGCAAUGAAUCCGAGGAAGGAAAUCAAUGUGGUGCUGAAGAAGGAAGCAGAUUAUUUUGGCGACAUUGUGAUUUUGCCAUUUAUGGACCGUUAUGAGUUUGUGGUUCUUAAAACCAUUGCCAUCUGUGAGUAUGGGGGAUUUAUCCAGUAACUUGCUAUAUGGAGAUAUUCCAUUAUCGACAUCUAGGCUCAAACAACUUGCUAUAUGGAGAUAUUCCGAUAACUUACUAUGUAGGACCUUGAAA